rnacentral:rRNA from 2 species
GGGCGACGUCGGGCUAGUUCCAAUAGCAUGUUAGUGCGAUCGAGCUCUGGUAUUGAGUGGCGCUUGCAUCAUGAUUUACAUUUGAGUGAGUGGCGAACUGGUGAGUAACACGUGGGAAACCUGCCCAGAAGCGGGGGAUAACACCUGGAAACAGAUGCUAAUACCGCAUAACAACUUGGACCGCAUGGUCCGAGCUUGAAAGAUGGCUUCGGCUAUCACUUUUGGAUGGUCCCGCGGCGUAUUAGCUAGAUGGUGGGGUAACGGCUCACCAUGGCAAUGAUACGUAGCCGACCUGAGAGGGUAAUCGGCCACAUUGGGACUGAGACACGGCCCAAACUCCUACGGGAGGCAGCAGUAGGGAAUCUUCCACAAUGGACGAAAGUCUGAUGGAGCAACGCCGCGUGAGUGAAGAAGGGUUUCGGCUCGUAAAACUCUGUUGUUAAAGAAGAACAUAUCUGAGAGUAACUGUUCAGGUAUUGACGGUAUUUAACCAGAAAGCCACGGCUAACUACGUGCCAGCAGCCGCGGUAAUACGUAGGUGGCAAGCGUUGUCCGGAUUUAUUGGGCGUAAAGCGAGCGCAGGCGGUUUUUUAAGUCUGAUGUGAAAGCCUUCGGCUCAACCGAAGAAGUGCAUCGGAAACUGGGAAACUUGAGUGCAGAAGAGGACAGUGGAACUCCAUGUGUAGCGGUGAAAUGCGUAGAUAUAUGGAAGAACACCAGUGGCGAAGGCGGCUGUCUGGUCUGUAACUGACGCUGAGGCUCGAAAGUAUGGGUAGCAAACAGGAUUAGAUACCCUGGUAGUCCAUACCGUAAACGAUGAAUGCUAAGUGUUGGAGGGUUUCCGCCCUUCAGUGCUGCAGCUAACGCAUUAAGCAUUCCGCCUGGGGGAGUACGGCCGCAAGGCUGAAACUCAAAGGAAGUUGACGGGGGCCCGCACAAGCGGUGGAGCAUGUGGUUUAAUUCGAAGCUACGCGAAGAACCUUACCAGGUCUUGACAUACUAUGCAAAUCUAAGAGAUUAGACGUUCCCUUCGGGGACAUGGAUACAGGUGGUGCAUGGUUGUCGUCAGCUCGUGUCGUGAGAUGUUGGGUUAAGUCCCGCAACGAGCGCAACCCUUAUUAUCAGUUGCCAGCAUUAAGUUGGGCACUCUGGUGAGACUGCCGGUGACAAACCGGAGGAAGGUGGGGAUGACGUCAAAUCAUCAUGCCCCUUAUGACCUGGGCUACACACGUGCUACAAUGGAUGGUACAACGAGUUGCGAACUCGCGAGAGUAAGCUAAUCUCUUAAAGCCAUUCUCAGUUCGGAUUGUAGGCUGCAACUCGCCUACAUGAAGUCGGAAUCGCUAGUAAUCGCGGAUCAGCAUGCCGCGGUGAAUACGUUCCCGGGCCUUGUACACACCGCCCGUCACACCAUGAGAGUUUGUAACACCCAAAGUCGGUGGGGUAACUUUUUAGGAACCAACCGACUAGUAGAGUCAGCUUACAGGC